UAAUAUGGCAUGAGGGGCAACAUAAAGUUGUGGUUCAUCAAAUACUCAGAUUAAUGUUAAGCAUGAAUUGAUGCCUAAUUAACACUUUUCCAUUAAUUUUCAUAGGAUUAGGGCACAAUGGAAUACACUCAACACCAAACCUGUACCAAAUCCACUGUGGGUCUUGGAAAAGUGGAAUAUUUGGAAAAUCCCAACACCAGCCACAGCCUUGGGUGACCAGACUUAAUCUCCCUGUCUCCUAAUUUGGGCUAAUUCUUCCCUGAGAGGAUUGAUGGGGUGAGGGGAGGAAUAGAAGUGAACUGCAAACCUAUAUGGGGCAUGCUUAUUAUCAGUCAUUACUUCGUGUGAUUUUUAGGAGGCACUUUAAAUCUCUGAACCACCAACCCAAGCGUUUUCCAUCACUCCAAGCUGCUUCCCAAAUCAUCUGGGGUCUCCUGUGUUGAAGAGCCCAUUGUUAUUACGGUUCCCUUUGGCUCCUCUAGGACAAAGAGGAAGAGCGGCGAAAGGUCAAGGGCAGGAAAAGUUUGAUCUGACAAUGGUGCUGCUGGAGCAGAUGCCUAGAGCUGACAAUUCUCUCGGGCUUCCAUGGGGCCCUCUGGGCUCCCCUCCUGGACCCUACAAUGGAAUCCAUUGACCCAGGUGGUAGGUCUGUAGACUAACUUCUCAUGAUCCCCCUCGGCUGGGUGCCUGACAGUAUUCCCUCCGCCCCUUCCUACUGAGAUCUCCUUGUUCCUUGCAGAGAUUGUGGGAUUGCUGGGUUGCCUUAUAAGAAACUAUCAAACAGUUUUCCACGGCAGCUGUGCCAUUUUGCAUUCCCACUGGCACCGUGUGAAAGGUCCAGCUGCCCCAAACCUUUUCAGCACUUGCUAUUAUCAAUUUUUAAAAAAAUCUUAGCUAUUUUAAUAGGUCUGCAGUGGUAUCUAAUAGUUUGAAUUUGCAUUUUCUUAAUAACUAAUGAUGCUGAGAAUCUUUUCGUGUGCUUAUUUGCCAUAUCGUCUUUGAUGAAGCAUCAAUUCAAAUCUUUGCCUAUUUUUUAAUUGGGUAGUUUAUUUUCUUUUUAUGGAGUUUUGAGAGCUCUUUAUAUAUUCUGGAUCAGAUAGGUGUUUUUCAACAUCUUCUCCAAGUCUGUGGCUUUUCGUUUUCUUAACAGUGUCUUUCAGAGAGUGGAAGUUUUCAAUUUUGAUGAAGUCUAAUACAUCAGUUUUUCUUUCAUGGAUCAACUUUUUAGUUUGGUAACUACAAAAUCUUUGCCAAACUCAAGAUCACAAUGAUUUCCUCUUACAUUUCCCUUAAGAAGUUUUACAGUAUUGGGCUUUACAUUGAUGUCUAUUACCCAUUUGGGGUUAAAUUUUGUAUAUGGUACAAGGUGCAGAUAAAGGUUCACUUUUGCAUAUAAACUUGUAAUUGUUUCAACAUCCUUAUUGUAAAACUAUCCUUUCUCCAUUGACUUGCCUGUACCUUUGUUGGAAAUCAACUGACUAUAUAGAUAUGGGUCUAUCUCGCGACUGUUUGGCUCACUGAUCUGUGUAUAUCCUUUUGACAAAACCACACUGUCUUGGUUACACUAGCUUUAUAGUAAGCCUUGAAAUCAGAUAGUGAGUUCCCCAAUUUUGUUCUUCUUUUUCAAAAUUCUU
rnacentral:lncRNA from 1 species